rnacentral:rRNA from 1 species
GAUGAACGCUGGCGGCGUGCCUAAUACAUGCAAGUCGAGCGAACAGACGAGGAGCUUGCUCCUCUGACGUUGGCGGCGGACGGGUGAGUAACACGUGUAUAACCUGCCUAUAGGACUGAGAUAACUUCGGGAAAGCGGAGCUAAUACCGGAUAAUAUAUUGAACCUCAUGGUUCAAUAGUGAAAGACGGUUUUGCUGUCACUUAUAGAUGGAUCCGCGCCGCAUUAGCUAGUUGGUAAGGUAACGGCUUACCAAGGCAACGAUGCGUAGCCGACCUGAGAGGGUGAUCGGCCACACUGGAACUGAGACACGGUCCAGACUCCUACGGGAGGCAGCAGUAGGGAAUCUUCGGCAAUGGGCGAAAGCCUGACGGAGCAACGCCGCGUGAGUGAAGAAGGUCUUCGGAUCGUAAAACUCUGUUAUUAGGGAAGAACAAAUGUGUAAGUAAAUAUGCACGUAUUGACGGUACCUAAUCAGAAAGCCACGGCUAACUACGUG